UGGAAACCUUGAUUUUGUUUUCCUCGAGUUUUCUUUGAUUUUGGUUUGAGUGCUUGUGUGUUUUCCUUUAGUUUGCUGAUAUGUCAUUAGUGAAAUACUUAUUUGUGCUAUUGUUUGACUCGAUAGAAUUUCCGGAGUGCGAAGCUUGCUAUCUCGAGUCACUAGCGUUUGAAGACCGUCAGCCAGGCAAGUUAUUUGAUCAUGUUUUACAAUACCUACGAUUUUGUUGCAUUAGAAUUUUUCCUCCCCGCCAUGCAUGCAGUAGGAGAAUUUUAAGUUAUGUUCUUGAGUAGUAUCAUGAGGUAGGAUGAACCCAGUUACCCUUGUUACCACUGCCCGGGACGAUGUAGUUUAUUUUGCUAUGCUCGUAGACGGGGUUGGUUGAGUGUUUCAUAAGGGAGAUGUGAGAGUCAAGAUGAUGACAACCCCAUGACUUCAAGCUCAAGAUGGACUUCAAAUUCACUACUGGGUGGAGGACGGUUGACGGGCACCCUGGAGAAACCAGCGGAUGGCCCGGAUGCAUGGAGAAGCGCCAUGACCUUGCGGAAAGCUUCACCCAGCCACGAAGAGACGGAUGGAUACCCCUUUGAUCGGAAGCUUACCUGUGCAGCCGCAAGCCAUUAUGGGCUCUGGCUGGGUUAACCCUAGGCGUGACUCUGGACGAACGGUGCCAGCAGAUGUAGAAGAACGGUAGGACAUGGAUGGGUACCGGCAGUUCUCAGAGAAACUCUAGGGAAGACCCUGUUUCGUUCAUCCCGUCUUCAAACACCAGGCAGUGCGAGGACAUAAAGGAGGGAACGAUUCUUGCGGGCAAAGUGCACAAGACUCUGCAGAGUAACAACCUAAUCGAUUAGCCGUGUCCCCGGUUAUGGACGAAUGAGCCUCUGGAAACUGGAGUAUUUCGGAAAUCUCAACACCGAACUAAUAAAUUAAUUGAGGGGUUAUUUAAUAAUUGGGAAUGAGACAUUGGUUGGCGGAACCAUCUCAAUAACAACCAACACUUUGUAGUAAUUGCAAGCAAGUCCUUUGUUAUAGGGAAAAUUGGCUUUUUUGCAAAAACAUAAAACUUAGAGCCCCACGGCUAAAUUGCAUAUAGUUUUAGAAAUUUUAUUGUUGUUCUCUCUAUGACUGGCCAGCAUAUUCAAAAUGCUGACCUACACGGCUGCAACGUCUCAGGUUGCAGAGGAGUUUUCCGACUAGGAGUGAGGCUACGAUCUACGCUUGGUGAUUGCCCGAUGGAGUCGGAUGGACUCGCUACUCGUCUACGCUUCCAUAGCUUUAUUUAGUUUAUUUCUCAUGAGUUGACCUUCGGCCGAAUUUAUUCUAUUCUAAUAAAGGCUCAAUAUGAGAAUCGUGUAAUAAAUUCAGGUCUGAUUGAACUUUGAAUCUUUUCAUCAAUGUACUGUGUGUGCCAGCAUGAUCUUGGGAUGGUACAGCUACACAGAGACUUGACCGAUUUUGGGUCGGGUCGCUACAGAGAUGGUAUUCAGAGCACACGCUGACCGUAGGACGUAACCCCUAGGAUCGGAAAGCCAUAGGAAGAGACUAUUUUAUUUUAUAUCCUUAUCAUUCUGUAAUUCUCCCCUGUUCAUUUCUGACUUCUCUCCGAUUUCAACAUUCUAGAUGGCCGUCAAGUUCAUCCCAGUUCUGCUCUCGGUGUUUUGCCAGCCAGAUGAGACAAUGCUUUUCGGCAGGAGGCUGGUCCAGAUCACCAAGGAAUUGAAUAUUGCUUUGUCGUCUAUCACCAGGACCCCUAUCAUGGCAUUUCCAGAAGACCAUCAUUAUAGGAUUAAGGUGCACAUACCAGGGAGAACUUUUGGAAGCCUCUCGGUGCCCAUUGACUUCAAGUUCACUGCUCCCACUUGGAUACUCAGGAGAAACAUAGCAGUUCAUAGUGCACUUGGACACAUCCAGGAGGAAUACAGGACCGAGCUUGUUGGAUCAGACCACACCAUGAUUUCUCGCAGGACUGCAGAUGGAGAGAUUAUCCGCACCAUAGAUGACGACUCUGUCCGCUCAUAUGUCCAAGACUUGGAGGCUCACAUCAGGACUCUAGAGAUUUAGAUGCGCAGGAGCUUGAAGACGGUCCAAAAGUUGCAUCUUCGUGAGAUUGAACUAGAGGAUGCAGCACGUUAGCCCACUAUGAUCAUGAGGAUGAAGUCAUGGAUUUUAUGGAAAGACUCGAGGACCGGAAGAAAUAUAUUGCCACACUUGAGGAGAAGACGGAUCUGGGAGAAGACCUUUUCCCGAGUGGAGAUGAUGGACCUCUCGUGAGCAAUGACCAGGAUUAUGAAGAGAGCUCCACCGAAGGAAGCCGCAAGAGGAGCGUCGCACCAGAGGACGACGCACCAGAGGACGCAGGGAUAAUUGAUGAAGACAUUUAGUCGACCGCCAUGUUAUUUUUAUUUUUAUUUUCGUCGAUCAGCCGUUAUUUUCGAUUAGUCGUGAGAUCUUGUAAUUCGAGUUUGAACCUUGCUUGAGUUGAAUGAAUAAAUGAUUGGUGUGACUGUGUUUGUGCAUUCAUUUGGGUAGUGCUAUUUUCUCAUUAGACCCUUGUUCUAUUCUAAUUUCUCAUCCACUCCAUAACACCAGAUGCCUCCGAGACGUGACCCCAGUUUCACUUUCCCGCCAGAGCUCACCCAGCUGAUUCAACAGCAGAAUGCCUUAAUGCAAAUGUUCAUCCAAAACCAAGGCAACAACAACAACAAUCCACCGCCACCACCCCCUGUCGAUAACCUGACCCGAUUCCUAAGGCUGAAUCCGCCGGUGUUCUCUAGUAGCACCGAGCCGAUGGUAGCUGAUGAUUGGCUCCGCAAGAUCGGAAGGGAUCUAACAACUGUUGGAUGCACAGAUGUUGAAAAGGUUCAUUUUGCCGCACAUCAACUGAAUGGACCUGCAGCCUCUUGGUGGGAAAAUUACACCGCCACUUAUCCGGUCGCCACCAUGACAUGGGAUCAGUUCCAGCGGGCUUUCCGGACCGCGCAUGUCUUAGCUGGAGCCAUGAGUCUGAAGAAGCGUGAGUUCCGCAACUUACGCCAGGGGAACCGUACUGUGGGGCAUUAUGUGGAUGAGUUCAACAAGUUAUCUCGAUAUGCCCCAGAUGACGUGGCCACUGAUGCCACAAAACAGGAGAAGUUUCUUGAGGGACUCAAUGAUGAGCUGGGGAUGCAGCUAAUGGUGGCUACCUUCAAUAACUACCAGGAGCUGGUAGACAAGGCCACUAUACUAGAAGGCAAGCAGCAGCAGAUUGAAAGCCGCAAGCGAAAAUAUAGCCAAGGAAAGUACAACUCCGGAGCUCAGCAGAAGCCCUGCUAUGCCCCAUACUCGGGAGGACAUACCCAUCACAACCAUGGAGGACACAAUCAUGGAGGACAUAACCAUGGAGGGAAUGGGAACAAUCGCAACCACGACAACAACCCCAAGUCAGGCAAUGGAGGCAACGGCAACCAGCACCGUCCUGCUCCGACUCAGAAGGAUCUGAGUCAUAUCACCUAUUUCAAGUGCCAGAAGAUAGGGCACUACGCCACCGAUUGUCCAGAGGCCAAGCAGAGGAAUGGGAACGGCAACGGCAACGGAAGCUCAGCAAAGAAGCCCAACCCUUUUCAUCGUGCUUAGGUGAAUCACAUUGACAUGGAGGACGUCUAUGAUCAGCCAGAAACUGUGGUUGGUAAGUUUUUAUUAAAUUCACGUCCAGUAUUGGUACUCUUUCAUUCCGGUGCAACACAUUCAUUCAUAUCAAGGGUAGUUGUGGAAAAAUACGGGUUGCCCACUAGGACCCUUAAAACCCCGAUCCAAGUCACUUCUCCAGGAGGAGAGAUGAUGGCAGGCUUAGGCUAUCAUUCAACCCUUAGCAUCGGAAAUCAUGAUUUCCCCCUAGACCUCAUAGUCUUAGAAUCCCAGGGAUUGGACGUGAUCCUAGGCAUGGACUGGUUGACGAGGUUUGAAGGGAACAUCGACUAUGCUCGCAAGACGAUUUUGCUCACCACCCCGGAACAGAAGAGGAUCAAGUAUGUAUCCAGACGCACAUGGAUAAAGAAACAGGUGAAUUCCCUCACGGGAGUGGUUCAGGAGGAAGUACCUGUAGUACAAGAUUUUCCGGAUGUAUUCCCGGAGGAAUUACCAGGAAUGCCACUGGAUAGAGAAAUAGAAUUUUUGAUCGAGUUAUUACCUGGCACAGCCCCAAUAUCCAAGAGAUCUUAUCGGAUGCCCCCGAAUGAUUCAGAAGAGAUAAAGCGGCAGAUCAAGGAAUUAUUGGAUAAAGGAUAUAUUCGCCCAAGUUCGUCACCUUGGGGAGCCCCAGUUCUUUUGGUAGAGAAGAAGGAUGGAACCCUGAGAAUGGUUGUAGAUUAUCGUUCAUUGAACAACGUGACCAUCAAGAAUAAGUACCCUCUACCGAUGAUUAAUGAUUUAUUUGAUCAGCUAGUCAGAGCCAAAGUAUUUUCCAAGAUCGAUCUUCGAUCAGGGUAUCAUCAGCUGAAGAUUCGUGAAUAGGAUAUACCCAAAACAGCCUUCACCACCAGGUAUGUUUUAUAUGAGUAUACCAUCAUGUCAUUCGGAUUGACUAAUGCCCCUGCGUAUUUCAUGAGCAUGAUGAACAAGGUAUUUAUGGAAUAUCUGGACAAGUUUGUCGUGGUGUUCAUCGAUGAUAUCUUGGUUUUCUCCAAGAGCGAGGAAGAACACAAGGAACAUCUGCGUCUAGUCCUGGAGAAACUCCGAGAAUAUCAGUUAUAUGCCAAGUUCAGCAAAUGUGAAUUUUGGUUGAAGGAAGUCGGAUUCCUCGGACAUGUUAUUUCAGGAGAAGGAAUAGCAGUCGACCCCACCAAGGUUGAAUUGGUCACCAACUGGCAAUCCCCCACCUUAGUCAAGGAGAUCCGCAGUUUCCUCGGCCUUGCAGGAUAUUAUCGGAGAUUUAUUGAGAAUUUCUCCAAGAUUGCUAAACCCAUGACCGAGCUAUUGAAAAAGGAAACAAAGUACAUUUGGACCGAGGAUUGUGAAGCCAGUUUUCAGGAGUUGAAGAAACGUCUGGUUACAGCCCCAGUACUCAUUUUGCCGGACAUACACAAGGAUUAUCAGGUGUAUUGUGACGCUUCUCGUCAAGGACUCGGAGGAGUGCUCGUGCAGGAAGGAAAAGUUGUAGCUUAUACCUCUAGACAGCUACGACCUCACUAGAUGAAUUACGCCACACACGAUUUGGAGUUAGCAGCCGUAGUGCACGCACUCAAGACCUGGAGACAUUUCCUUGUCGGAAAUAGUUGUGAUGUUUACACGGAUCAUAAGAGCCUGAAGUAUAUCUUCACGCAGAAGGAAUUAAACCUCAGGCAGAGGAGAUGGCUUGAAUUGAUCAAGGACUAUGACAUGAGAUUGCAUUAUCACCCAGGGAAGGCAAAUGUUGUAGCAGAUGCCUUGAGCCGCAAAAGUUAUGUGAACACCCACAUAGCUGGAGGAUUAACUCAGAAUUUAGCCGACGAUCUCAGAGAUCUCCGAUUGGAAAUAGUACCAAGAGGAUUUGUCGCCACCCUGGAUAUUCAGUCCACUUUGACUGAAAGAAUUCGUGAAGCCCAGAAGACGAACAAGGAAAUUGCAGAGAUAAAGGAAAAGAUGAGUAACGGAAAGACUAAAGGUUUCUGUGAGGGUGAACACGGAACUUUAUGGUUUGAGGAUCGCAUCUAUGUGCCCAAUGACCCAGAGGUCAGGAAGUUGAUUAUUCAGGAGGCCCAUGAUUCACCGUACUCGAUUCACCCAGGCAACACCAAGAUGUAUAUGGAUUUGAAGGAAAGUUUCUGGUGGACAGGUAUGAAGAAGGAUAUUGCCAAGUAUGUAGCAGUAUGCGAUGUUUGUCAGCGAGUAAAGGCUGAGCAUCAGAAGCCGGCAGGGUUACUUCAACGACUGCCGAUUCCCGAGUGGAAAUGGGAAAAACUUGGAAUGGAUUUUAUCACAGGAUUACCCAGGACCCGUUCAGGCUAUGAUUCUAUCUGGGUAGUGGUUGAUCGCUUGACCAAGGUAGCUCAUUUCAUUCCCGUGAAGACUACAUAUACCAGCGCUAAGUUAGCCAAGAUAUACAUGACCAGGAUCGUAUGUCUGCAUGGAGUUCCAGGAGUAUCGUGUCAGAUAGAGGAACGCAAUUUACCUCAAAGUUUUGGAAUCAGUUGCAUGAAACUUUGGGUACGAGGCUGGAGUUCAGUACAGCUUUUCAUCCGCAGACAGAUGGACAGACCGAGAGAGUCAACCAGAUUCUGGAGGACAUGUUGAGAGCCUGUCCACUAGACUAUGGGUCUAGCUGGGAUGACAAUCUGCCAUACGCAGAGUUCUCGUACAACAACGGCUAUCAGACCAGUUUGAAGAUGGACCCUUUUGAAGCUCUAUACGGAAGGAGGUGCAGAACACCACUGCUGUGGGAUGGUGUUGGAGACCGAAAGCUUUUUGGUCCUGAUCUUAUCAGAGACUCCGAAGAGAAGGUCAAACUGAUUCGAGAUAGACUCAAGAUAGCCUAGUCGAGACAGAAGAGUUAUGCCGACAGUAAACGCAAGGAGGUAACGUAUGAAGUUGGAGACCGAGCCUAUCUCCGUGUGUCCCCACUUCGUGGAAUCAAGAGAUUUGGUGUUAAAGGAAAGUUAGCACCCAGGUUCAUUGGCCCCUACAAAAUCCUCCAACGCAGAGGAGAAGUUGCAUACAAGCUGGAAUUGCCGGAAGGAUUGUCUGGAGUUCAUGAUAUCUUCCAUGUUUCCCAGCUGAAGAAAUGGCAUGCUGAGAUGGCCGAUAUUCCUUUAAGAGACACCGUACCCCUAGAGACAAUAUAGCUCGACAGUGAUCUAACUUAUGAGGAGAAACCCGUCAGGAUUCUCGAGACUGCGAACAGAGUUACCCGCAGCAAGAUCAUCAAGUUUUGCAAGGUUCUGUGGAGUCAUCAUUCAGAGGAGGAAGCCACCUGGGAGCGAGAAGAAGAUCUCCGCCGAGACCACCCGCACCUAUUUGCUAGCCAACCCGAAUCUCGAGGGCGAGAUUCAUCUUAAGGUGGGUAGGUUUGUAACAUCCCAAAUUUUCAAUUUGGAAUGUUUUACAAUUUUAGUUAAGCAUCUAUGCAUUUUGUUUGAAUUGAGUGGCAUUUGGAAAUUUUCAGAGACUUUUGAAUUUUUGUUGAAUUUUGGAUUCAACUUGGCAUUUAAAAAUCUACCUCAAUAUCCCUGACAAAUACUUGAGAAAAGUAUGAGAGGAGCUAACAUGACACUCCAAAAAAAUGUCAGAAGAAAAUAUUGCCAAAAGGUUUGAAUCCAAAUUUGAAUUUUAUUUUGGAGUUUGUAGAAAAUGUUUUUUUAGUUUCUGUUUUGCCUCUAUAGAAAUGUCCACGCUAUAGGAUUAAUUCCCCUAAGAAUUUUGAUAUAUAUAUGUCCUAUAUAAAAAUAUUAUAUGUUUACCUAUAAUUAGUUUUCUCUCUCUGUGGUAUUUCAAAAAAACAAAAAAAAGGUCCAAGGCGCCAGCCAGGCCAACUAGCCCAGCAGCGCUGAGCCGCAGCCCACCAGCAACCGAGCCGGCCUACCCCAGCGCGGCGCACACCCGAACCCCUCUCCCCUCGGUCGCCCGCUCGCUCUCCUCUCUCCCUCCCUCACCGACGCGCCGGCCCCACCCCUUCUCCUUCCCCUCGCACAUGACACGCCACACCGGAGCACGCGCAGAGCGCGCCCGACACCGCGAGCUUCUCGGGAUCACGAUCUCGCGUCGCCCCCUCGCCCAAGUCCAUGCCCAAUAUACACCCCUCGCUCCCCUUCCCCGAUCCCCCUAAAACCCUAGCCCAAAACCCACCACAGCUCGCGCCCUCGCCAAACGCAUCUCGCUGCUGCCGCCGCUGUUCGCCACCCGUUCCGACUCCGGUGAGCACUCCCUCGAUCCCAAUUUCCACCCACGUACUUCCGUCGCCGUUGCCCACUUUUUUGACAUGUUCUGCGGCCCUCUUAUUCACAGCAGAGACGACCCCGAGCUCGUCCGCCACCCGCCGGAGCUGCAGAGCACUGGGCUCGGUUUCGCCUCGCACCCGACAUCUGCGCCGUCCCCGAGCUCCAACUACUCCACCACCGCCUCCGCCUUGCUCCGCCGCACCCACCCGGCGAUUCCGCCGCCGCCCCAGACCACCGGAGCACCCCCCGCCACCGUCGCCCGAGCCGCCGUCGUCCCUCGUCGCUGCUGUAAGUCACCGGACCCCCUCCACCGUUCGAUCUGCAAGGCACGGUUUAGAUUAGAGUAGCGAAGGGUUAGGUUAUUUUUAUUAGACCGGUUUUAGUUCACGGUUUGUCUCCGGUUUAUUUCCUAUAGUUGCUGUAGAAAUUAGAUUUGGCCAUGUUUAGGUUUUUAAAAAAUUGUUUUAUAUUAGUUUUAGUCAGAUUAGUUUUUCUGCUAUAAAUUGAGUUAGGAUUAGUUUUUUUUAGUGAUUCUUUUUGUCACUGCUUUGUUUUGACUUUGUCUAGCAGUAGGCAUUUAUUUGGGCAUUUUGACUCUUUAUUAAAAAUAGUUUUUGUGCGAAAACAAGCUUUUCUAGUUUAUUUAGCUUGCUGUUAUUUUUUGUUGUUCUAGUUAUUUUUAAAUUUAAUUUUCCUAUGUUAUAAUUUAUUUUAGAUUAGUUUCUGUAGUUACAGAGAGUGAACAUUUAUUUACAGCAAAAUAAAAAGUUUUAUUUUAAGUUCUUAAUAGUUUUGUUUUAGGUAUAACAGCAAUUCUAUAAUAGAUAUUGGUUUGAAUCUUUUUGCACCUAGUUUGCAUGCUGUUUUCCUCUAUGUUAGUUAGUAAAACCAUUGUUUUGGAUCUGUAAAGAAAAGUGUUAGUAGGUUAAAACUAUUUCCUUGUUGUUGCUUGAUGUGAUGGAAACCUUGAUUUUGUUUUCCUCAAGUUUUCUUUGAUUUUGGUUUGAGUGCUUGUGUGUUUUCCUUUAGUUUGCUGAUAUGUCAUUAGUGAAAUACUUAUUUGUGCUAUUGUUUGACUCGAUAGAAUUUCCGGAGUGCGAAGCUUGCUAUCUCGAGUCACUAGCGUUUGAAGACCGUCAGCCAGGCAAGUUAUUUGAUCAUGUUUUACAAUACCUAUGAUUUUGUUGCGUUAGAAUU
rnacentral:lncRNA from 1 species